rnacentral:rRNA from 1 species
GAUCCAGACUCCUACGGGAGGCAGCAGUGGGGAAUAUUGCGCAAUGGACGAAAGUCUGACGCAGCGACGCCGCGUGAGGGAUGAAGGUUUUCGAAUCGUAAACCUCUGUCAGGAGGGAAGAAAGCGCAUGGCGCCAAUCAGCCAUGCGUUGACGGUACCUCCAAAGGAAGCGCCGGCUAACUCCGUGCCAGCAGCCGCGGUAAUACGGAGGAUGCGAGCGUUAUCCGGAUUUAUUGGGUUUAAAGGGUGCGUAGGCGGGCUGUUAAGUCAGCGGUCAAAUGGCGGGGCUCAACCCCGGCCUGCCGUUGAAACUGGCGGCCUCGAGUGGGCGAGAAGUAUGCGGAAUGCGUGGUGUAGCGGUGAAAUGCAUAGAUAUCACGCAGAACUCCGAUUGCGAAGGCAGCAUACCGGCGCUCAACUGACGCUCAUGCACGAAAGCGUGGGUAUCGAACAGGAUUAGAUACCCGAGUA